rnacentral:rRNA from 1 species
UACGUAGGGUGCGAGCGUUUAAUCGGAAUUACUGGGCGUAAAGCGCGCGUAGGCGGCCCGGUAAGUCCGCUGUGAAAGUCAAAGGCUCAACCUUUGAAUGUCAGCGGAUACUGCCGGGCUAGAGUCCGGAAGAGGCGAGUGGAACUCCUGGUGUAGCGGUGGAAUGCGCAGAUAUCAGGAAGAACACCAACGGCGAAGGCAGCUCGCUGGGACGGAACUGACGCUGAGGCGCGAAAGCGUGGGGAGCGAACAGG